rnacentral:misc_RNA from 1 species
AAGUCGUAACAAGGUUUCCGUAGGUGAACCUGCGGAAGGAUCAUUAUCAAAAGUCAGUCGGGAGCCCUAGUGGCUGCCGUCUACACCCAAGUCUCUUGUGUACUCAUUGUUUCCUCGGCGGCGUAAGUCGCCGAAUGGACAAACUAAAACCUUUUUGUAAUUGCAAUCAGCGUCAUUAAAUAUAAUAAUAUUUACAACUUUCAACAACGGAUCUCUUGGUUCUG